rnacentral:lncRNA from 1 species
ACAGGAAAAGAACAGGAAAAGGAUUCAAGGAUGUGCUUUUAAAAUGACAGUCUUCUAGCAUGAAUCUGCAAUAAAAAGAGGUUUCAAUAGAAGUGUGUUUUUUACUUCAGGAAAUAUCUUUCUCCCAGAAUCUCUACAGACUUUCCCAGCUGUAUUCCAAGGUCAUGUUCAACUUUCAAGAUCUGAUUUCACGUAUUUAUGGACAUGCUUCAGAUAACAAAUCCCUGAAGAGAAGCACUGGCAUUUCAUGUCAGCACUGAAAUUAGAGGAUGAUGUGUUACUUUGCUCUUGUGGUUUUUGAUCAACUUAGCAACAAGGCAUUUAACUCCAUCUAAAUCUCUAGAGUGUUGUGGACUCCUCCAGGACAGAACCAUAAACCAAGAGAUUCACUUUCUGCAGAAAAUGAUAAUAAAAAUCAAGAAAAAAUAUAAUUCCGAUUUCACAGGAAAUAUCACACUACAUGGUCUUAGGAAAGCUUGCAGAUCUGUUUACUAGUUAAGUAAUUGGUUUUUUUUUCUCUGAAAGAUAAUUUUUUCCUGGUUUGUUGUGACCUAAUGCUCAUUAAUUGCUUAAUGGUCAGAAACUCGAUGAUCCUCCUUUUAUGAAAAAAUGUUGAAAAGAGCGUGGGAUAGGAGAUAUCCAGAAAAAGAUUGUUCAUUCUCAUAUACAAACUCAUCUCCUUGUUUCUGAGCACAAAAUAUGUAAAGGCAGCCACAUGUUUACCUCCAGGAAGGCCAAUACUGCAAGAGAUUAGAGCUGCCUCUUGGGAUGUAUUUCCUGUUCUUUUGCCACCUCUCCUUCUCAAGUGUUCCUAGCAGUGCAGCUCCUUGCAAAGCCUUCCAUCAGGUAGAUCAAAUAGUAGUUUUAAUCAAGAGUUGACCCAUCUUCAAUCUACUCAAUCUCUCUCCUUCUUAGAGUCUGGGUUCCAGUCCUGAGAAUCACCUCCUGGUGUCGUUUCUUCCUUCACAGCACCUUGUUGACAAACAGCCACUGAAGGGAAUGGUGCAAAUCACUAUCACUUACAAAUUGCAAGUAAACUACAUGAUCUUCCAAGGCAUCAACCAAUCUUGUUCUCAGGUAUCUUUAAAAAUGUUCAUGGAUCCUGCAAUAUACAACUAACUCUUUUUCUGUACUUUAUAUUUUAUCCAAAGUCUUAAUUUGAUAAAGUUGCAAAGUGUUAACAUUAUUAUUCCUCUGCCGUUCUUUUCUCACAUAAGAAUGACUACAGUUUCUUAUUUUCCUCUUGACAAACUUUGUUUAAGCACUGUAGUGUUUUCUGUUAUUAUCAUCCGCAUCUUAAAACAAAGUGAAGGAGAGAGGGGCCUC